rnacentral:rRNA from 1 species
UACGAAGGGGGCUAGCGUUGCUCGGAAUCACUGGGCGUAAAGGGUGCGUAGGCGGGUCUUUAAGUCAGGGGUGAAAUCCUGGAGCUCAACUCCAGAACUGCCUUUGAUACUGAGGAUCUUGAGUUCGGGAGAGGUGAGUGGAACUGCGAGUGUAGAGGUGAAAUUCGUAGAUAUUCGCAAGAACACCAGUGGCGAAGGCGGCUCACUGGCCCGAUACUGACGCUGCGGCACGAAAGCGUGGGGAGCAAACAGG